rnacentral:tRNA from 1 species
GGCCUCCUAGCUCCGCUGGUAGAGCAUGCGCUGUACAAAAGCGUAGACCGCGUCCAUAUGUGAGUUCAAAUCCCACCGAGGCCA